rnacentral:rRNA from 1 species
UGGGGAAUUUUGCACAAUGGGGGAAACCCUGAUGCAGCGACGCCGCGUGAUUUAGAAGGCCUUCGGGUUGUAAAAAUCUUUUCUAUGGGAAGAAAAUGACAGUACCAUAGGAAUAAGGACCGGCUAAUUACGUGCCAGCAGCCGCGGUAAUACGUAAGGUCCGAGCGUUGUCCGGAAUCAUUGGGCGUAAAGGGUACGUAGGCGGGUAAGCAAGUUAGAAGUGAAAUCCUGUAGCUCAACUACAGUAAGCUUUUAAAACUGCUCAUCUUGAGAUAUGGAAGGGAAAGUGGAAUUCCUAGUGUAGCGGUGAAAUGCGAAGAUAUUAGGAGGAAUACCGGUGGCGAAGGAGACUUUCUGGCCAUAAUCUGACGCUGAGGUACGAAAGCGUGGGUAGCAAACAGG